rnacentral:rRNA from 1 species
CCAGACUCCUACGGGAGGCAGCAGUGGGGGAUAUUGCACAAUGGGGGGAACCCUGAUGCAGCGACGCCGCGUGGGUGAAGAAGCGCCUCGGCGCGUAAAGCCCUGUCAGCAGGGAGGAAAAUGACGGUACCUGAAGAAGAAGCCCCGGCUGACUACGUGCCAGCAGCCGCGGUAAUACGUAGGGGGCAAGCGUUAUCCGGAUUCACUGGGUGUAAAGGGAGCGUAGACGGUGACGCAAGUCUGGAGUGAAAGCCCGGGGCCCAACCCCGGGACUGCUCUGGAAACUGCGGCGCUGGAGUACGGGAGGGGAAGGCGGAAUUCCUGGUGUAGCGGUGAAAUGCGUAGAUAUCAGGAGGAACACCGGUGGCGAAGGCGGCUUACUGGACCAUAACUGACGUUGAGGCUCGAAAGCGUGGGGAGCGAACAGGAUUAGAUACCCCGGUAGA